AGCGAAACGGGAAGAGCCCAAACCAACAAGCUUGCUUGUUGGGGUUGUAGGACACUCUAUACGGAGUUACAAAGGACGACAUUAGACGAAUCAUCUGGAAAGAUGAAUCAAAGAAGGUAAUAAUCCUGUAGUCGAAAAUGUUGUCUCUCUUGAGUGGAUCCUGAGUACGACGGAGCACGUGAAAUUCCGUCGGAAUCUGGGAGGACCAUCUCCUAAGGCUAAAUACUCUCUAGUGACCGAUAGUGAACCAGUACCGUGAGGGAAAGGUGAAAAGCACCCCGGAAGGGGAGUGAAAUAGAACCUGAAACCGUGUGCUUACAAGUAGUCAGAGCCCGUUAAUGGGUGAUGGCGUGCCUUUUGUAGAAUGAACCGGCGAGUUACGAUUUGAUGCAAGGUUAAGCAGUAAAUGUGGAGCCGUAGCGAAAGCGAGUCUGAAUAGGGCGUUUAGUAUUUGGUCGUAGACCCGAAACCAGGUGAUCUACCCUUGGUCAGGUUGAAGUUCAGGUAACACUGAAUGGAGGACCGAACCGACUUACGUUGAAAAGUGAGCGGAUGAACUGAGGGUAGCGGAGAAAUUCCAAUCGAACCUGGAGAUAGCUGGUUCUCUCCGAAAUAGCUUUAGGGCUAGCCUCAAGUGAUGAUUAUUGGAGGUAGAGCACUGUUUGGACGAGGGGCCCCUCUCGGGUUACCGAAUUCAGACAAACUCCGAAUGCCAAUUAAUUUAACUUGGGAGUCAGAACAUGGGUGAUAAGGUCCGUGUUCGAAAGGGAAACAGCCCAGACCACCAGCUAAGGUCCCAAAAUAUAUGUUAAGUGGAAAAGGAUGUGGCGUUGCCCAGACAACUAGGAUGUUGGCUUAGAAGCAGCCAUCAUUUAAAGAGUGCGUAAUAGCUCACUAGUCGAGUGACACUGCGCCGAAAAUGUACCGGGGCUAAACAUAUUACCGAAGCUGUGGAUUGUCCUUUGGACAAUGGUAGGAGAGC
rnacentral:rRNA from 1 species